rnacentral:lncRNA from 1 species
AUUAAGGAUUAUUGAGGCGAUAAGUACAUCCUUUUGCAAAAUAUUUUUUGGGAUUACAACUUAAUUGUUUGAAGUGUAUUGUUACCAUUUACACAACAAUGAAGAGAUGGUUUGAACAGUGGGCAAAAAGGGAUCUUCAGACAUCAAACAAGGUUUCUAAAUCGACCAAAACAAAAAUUCACAGACUAAGAUAACAUCAUCCAUUAGCUGUCAAAAACAUCUCAUCACUUCUCCUUUUUCUCCGCGGGGACAACCUUCUUCAUCCGGGCUCCCAGCUGGUGCUGGUUCAUCAACUCGACACGGAACUUCUUGCCGCCGUGAGUGAUGGGCAUCUAAUCGCCCUGGCCCCCUGGAUGGCUAUAGCAAGCUCCUCUGUUAGAAUUGAAUCACCAGGCUUGGAGCAAGAGAGGUGUAAACACGGAGAAAAACAAUACAAAGCUCACUAAUAAUAGGUUGAUGGUAUUUCUUAUACACAAACUCAAACUAAUGACUGCUAGAAUUCCACCAUUCUACCGAUGUUACAAGCACCUGAAGACAUUAUUAUUCCAAAUAACACCACCGUAACUGAAGCAACCAACAAACUAAACUCUAGAACAUCAAAGGACAACCAGAUUAAUCCUUCUCUGAAGCUCGCAUGAUAGAAAUGCCAACUUCUAACCUAGUUCAAAGAUACUGUAUAUAAUAGAUUGGCAUCGUUAUGUCUAAUAUGCAAUAAAUUAUGCAACAAAUAGAAUCCAAUAAAUCCAGUAAAUCUAAUUUUCAUGCUUAUAUGUAUAUUAGUUUUUUAGAUUUAAGAGGAGAAAUAUUUCAUGAACAUUUAAAGUCAUCAUGCUUUGAAUUAGACGACACAAGCAUUAGAACUGCAUUUGCUCGAUCCUUGAGUGAGACCUUUCUACUCCCAAGAAAAGAAAAAGAGAAGAAAAGUGUAAUCUGGAUGUGGCAUCAAUAGCAUAGCUAGAAAGUAUAUAUAGAUGCAGUUGUUCGAGACUGACUAACCAUUUUGCAUUGAAGUUUGCAAAUAAAUCAUUUUCAUAUUUGAACAAGGGGACUUGUAAACCUCAGGAACAGACGUUUCUUUAAGAUUUAACAAAUAGCAGCAGAAACUCUGCAUGAAAGAAACAAUUCUGAUGCACUGAGAUAACUCCAAUGUACUUGUUGAUAUGAAGGUGAUCGAGUAGAUAGACUGACACAGACAACAGUAAGCAUACCUCUUGUCAAUCUGCACUUCAGAGCCUAGUUACUUUUUGAGCCAAUAUAUGCAUCAACUCAGGAUCCUCCGCUGUAUAAACCUGGUAUCACGAAGAAAGGCAACAAUAAGCAUACCUCUUCUCAAUCUGCACUUCGGAGCCUAGAUUUUGUAUCAAUCUCAAUAUGAAAACUGAAGCAAUAUACAUUGGCAUACCAGGAAGAAAGGCAACAAUACCCAGCAACAAAUAGGCCAUACACCUGAGAGCUGUCAGCAUCCAUGUGACCUUGAAACUGCAUAAGGAAAUAUCAUAGCAAAAGUUUAAUAUUGUCUGAUAGGACACAACAGCCAUGUAUCUUUCUAAGAAAGUUGACAAUCAGCUUGUAAACAAAAUACCUUGGUAGUUGCAAAACAACCUUCGGUAUCAUCUUUGUAUCAUUAUGUAGCAAAGGUCCCUACUUUAUAUUAGCCUAACAAACCUGCCGAAGCUAUCUGCACAACUCCACAAAAAUCAGAAAAGAAUUAAGAGAAUUAGUAUUAAAAGGAGAUGAGCAGUAUGCCUACAAGGAUGAAAUAAUAGGAUGGAUUGACAUGAACUACACACGCAUUAGUACCUGCAGUUCAAUAUCCCAAUGCCCUUAAGAAUUUCUACUACUCCUGAUCUGGAAGUGUUCAACUUAACCAAAUAGAUUGUUACUUAUCUUUGGCUCUGAACAAUACUGACUUAUAAACAGUUAUAAGCAUCAAAUUUCAAAGAAUCACAGAUCAACAAGUUGCUGGCUGAUCUGUCGUACAUGUAUUUAUUUUUUCAACGGUAUGCUUGCCCUUGGGACAAAGCUUCGAAUUGGCUAGCAUAAAUAUGUAAUAGUCUAUGUGAAGCAAUAAACUGGGAAUUAGAAAAAAAAAUCAACUGAAAAUUAUGUCUUAUGAUUUGAUAUAGCUUAAAAAGGAUCCACUUUAUGAGUUGAAACAAAGCACGUGAAUGACAUAGUCACAAAGAUACGUCCGCCAACCUUCUUCCUCCCAGUAGACAUGGAAAUUAGUAGUCACCCAUCUAGGAUUAAGUAAAUAAAAAGAAAGAUGGAAAAGAGAGAGCACCUUUGAUGAACACAGACAACCAAGCAGCUUCCCCUUGUUCUCGUCUUGGCCGGCACUACACCUCUUCCCGGUCGGCAACCUGGAUGAGCGACAACCUGGCCGGCACUACGCCGGACGAUACAGCUACCCGCAGCUCACGCUGCUCAGGCCAACCGCACAUAGACCACAAACGCUGCACCACAUCCUGGGCCGCUGCCCCAACAUGUCGUCCAACAGUCCCGACUGGGGCGCAUUGACGGAGCUGACAACCUUGCUGCUUCCGCACUUCAAGGUCCUCACCCAAGCCAUGCCGACAAGCAGCCCUACCUCUUGGAGCUGUCGUCGCAGUACUGCCCGAGGCCGCAGCCUCGACACUUAAUAGAAGAUCCUGGAGCCGCAGCCCCGACAUACACCGCCCUUGAAAACGAAAGAGCCCCACAUGACAUCCAAAGGCUGGCCCUCCAAGGCUACACCUCUGAAGAUGGUUACGACGUAAACGCCGCCGCCACCCACUCCAGAAAACUGGAGUUUAGGUUCUCACCCGGAGAACCCAAGCACAUGAAAGGAUAGGAAGAUGUCUACGACUAUGCCUCUAAGAAGGUCACGGAGCUUUCGCCCGAGUCCCUGAUCUCCUAUCAGUGAGCUUGCUUGCAAAUCUGGUCACGCAACGAUACCCAGACCAUCAGAGCCAAGCACAUUGUGUAGGGCACCCCCCUGCCGUCAGCCGGCAUAGCCCUCACGCGACGACCAGCUGCAGCAACUCAUGCAACAUAGAAACAACGCGGUUGCCAGGGUCAGAUCUGAGUGCAUCGCUCCAAAUCCACCAUCCUGAGCCGGUGCAGCAGCCCCUGCCAUAGCAGCCAUCAGCCCGAGGCCGCUGCCCCAGCAUUCUCUGGCGCCGCAACCACCGGCUACCCCGCUGCAGAUCCACGAAACCAGGAGAACAACGUCAUCAAUCUGCAGAGUAGCACAGUCACACCUCCCGCCGCGAAGAAACGCACAACGCCCAUAUGUCCUCCCUCGCGCAUGCUAGGAGCCAGAUCCACGCCCACCUCGCACCUCCGCCACGGACCAACGCACCCAGCCGGCCGGAGCACCUCUACGCCUUACUUCGCCAGCGCACAUGCCAGAUCGG